rnacentral:rRNA from 1 species
AGAGUUUGAUCCUGGCUCAGGACGAACGCUGGCGGCGUGCUUAACACAUGCAAGUCGAACGGUAAGGCCCCAGCUUGCUGGGGUACACGAGUGGCGAACGGGUGAGUAACACGUGGGUGACCUGCCCCGCACUUCGGGAUAAGCCUGGGAAACUGGGUCUAAUACCGGAUAGGACCGCACCGUGAGGGUGUGGUGGAAAGUUUUUCGGUGUGGGAUGGGCCCGCGGCCUAUCAGCUUGUUGGUGGGGUAAUGGCCUACCAAGGCGGCGACGGGUAGCCGGCCUGAGAGGGUGGACGGCCACAUUGGGACUGAGACACGGCCCAGACUCCUACGGGAGGCAGCAGUGGGGAAUAUUGCACAAUGGGCGGAAGCCUGAUGCAACGACGCCGCGUGGGGGAUGACGGCCUUCGGGUUGUAAACUCCUUUCACCAUCGACGAAGGUUUUCUGACGGUAGAUGGAGAAGAAGCACCGGCUAACUACGUGCCAGCAGCCGCGGUAAUACGUAGGGUGCGAGCGUUGUCCGGAAUUACUGGGCGUAAAGAGCUCGUAGGUGGUUUGUCGCGUCGUCUGUGAAAUUCCGGGGCUUAACUCCGGGCGUGCAGGCGAUACGGGCAUAACUUGAGUACUGUAGGGGAGACUGGAAUUCCUGGUGUAGCGGUGAAAUGCGCAGAUAUCAGGAGGAACACCGGUGGCGAAGGCGGGUCUCUGGGCAGUAACUGACGCUGAGGAGCGAAAGCAUGGGUAGCGAACAGGAUUAGAUACCCUGGUAGUCCAUACCGUAAACGGCGGGCGCUAGGUGUAGGGGUCUUCCACGACUUCUGUGCCGUAGCUAACGCAUNAAGCGCCC